UCCUGGCUGGACUUCUUGCCUCUGCAAUUAAACUUUUGCAGCGCAUCCAGAAUGCGGCAGCGCACCUCGUGUUCAACCUACCGAAGUUCUCCCAUGUGACCCCCCUCUUCCGGGACCUCCCUGGCUCCCUGUACAUUGCUAAAGCCACACACCCCAGCUCGAUCCCUCCGCUCAACUACCUUAGCAGGACGUCUGGUACCGCCAUCGCUAAGAGCUAGCAAAGGCCGUUCAGCAAAGUCACAACUUUUCUCGAUUUGGGACCUCAGUGAUGGAACGAGCUCCCUGCCGCUCUCAGGACCGCAGAGUCGCUCACUAUCUUCAGAAAAAGACUCAAGACUCACCUGUUCAGAGUCCACCUCGACACUGCAUAGCCACCCUCCCCCUUCUGGCCACCAUUGUACACUGUAUUGUAUUAUGUUGUAUUGUAUUGUAUUAU